rnacentral:rRNA from 1 species
GAUGCUAAUACCGGACAACAACAGAUGAUGCCUAUCAAACUGUUUAAAAAGAAUGGUUCUGCUAUCACUCUUGGAUGGACCUGCGGUGCAUUAGCUAGUUGGUAGGGUAACGGCCUACCAAGGCGAUGAUGCAUAGCCGAGUUGAGAGACUGAUCGGCCACAUUGGGACUGAGACACGGCCCAAACUCCUACGGGAGGCAGCAGUC